CAGAAAAUAGUUCAAUUUAGAAUCUUAGCUUUGGGAGUUAAGGAUGGAAGUUAGAAUCUUUCUUUU
rnacentral:tRNA from 1 species